rnacentral:rRNA from 1 species
CGAACGGGUGAGUAAUACAUAAGUAACCUGCCCUAGACAGGGGGAUAACUAUUGGAAACGGUAGCUAAGACCGCAUAGGUACGGACACUGCAUGGUGACCGUAUUAAAAGUGCCUCAAAGCACUGGUAGAGGAUGGACUUAUGGCGCAUCAGCUGGUUGGCGGGGUAACGGCCCACCAAGGCGACGAUGCGUAGCCGACCUGAGAGGGUGACCGGCCACACUGGGACUGAGACACGGUCCAGACUCCUACGGGAGGCAGCAUG